CACGUAGGGGGCAAGCGUUGUCCGGAAUCAUUGGGCGUAAAGAGCUCGUAGGCGGUCUGUUGCGUCCGCUGUGAAAACUCGGGGCUUAACCCCGAGCCUGCAGUGGAUACGGGCAGACUAGAGGUAGGUAGGGGAGAAUGGAAUUCCCGGUGUAGCGGUGAAAUGCGCAGAUAUCAGGAGGAACACCGAUGGCGAAGGCAGAUCUCUGGGCCGUAACUGACGCUGAGGAGCGAAAGCAUGGGGAGCGAACAGG
rnacentral:rRNA from 1 species